CCAAGGCGUCGAUUUGGUGCAGGUUGUCCCGGUCGGGCGCCAGCACGCACGGCUGGCUGUCGUCCGCGUACUCGGCGCUGGAUCGCAGAACCGAGCGCCGCAGGGCGCCCACUUGAGGCCGGGAGGGCCGAGGGGCUCCCGGUUCCGGUCCUCUGUCCAGCUUGUCGAAGCAGCUGACGCGCAGCUUUCCGUACACGACCUUGAGCAGGCCGUGCAUGCCCGGGUGGUCGUGCAGGGGGAUGCAGGCGCCGCUUUGGAGGAGGAACACGCCCAUGCUGAAGUGGUCCGUCUCGCAGAUGUGCAUGGGCGGGAGGAAAACAAACGGAAUACAGCCGACGAUGGUCACAACACACCUUCAUCAUCAUCAUCAUCAUCAUCAACAUCAUCAUCAUCAUCACUUCCUGAGGACGUCACCUUGCUUUAAGAAGAGACGCGUCCGAUUACACGUCUAACGACCGGAACAUAUGAAGAUAAUAAUUAGACUGCUUCCACGUCUCAGAGCUACGAGUGAGGCAAGAAAGAAAGCCGUGAGCUGACUCCGUAUUUGAAUCGACAAAAAGUAUCACGUCGCCUCGUGGCUGCCCAGUUCUUUCUGCGCCAAAGCAUUGCAGCGAUCUAUUCGAAGCAAACUAUUUUCGCUCGUCGUCGUCUUCAAAACAUACAUCCUCUCCAUCUUCAGGUGACGUAAUGCCGCACGGGAAGAGGAGGAGUUCCAAAACAUUUCUCAGACCGUUGAGCGGUCAAGACAGAAGAUUUGUUCUCAAGCUACUUUCUGCACGUCAAAUGAGUCCAAAUAACAGACAGACCGAUAGCGUCGCUUUGCGGGAAAAAUACGAGCGUGACCAUAUUUGGACAUACGAGCUUGACGGCGACGAGAUGGGAAAAUACUUUCCGGAAGGCCAAUUUCACCCUGGAAACCUUCGAGAUAGUUUCGAAAGCAAUAUUCUAAUUCUUGGGAAGCUGAACUAUGUGUGUCGAGUGGACCCAGCCGGACUGCAAAGAAAAAAAGAAUAUCGGCGAGAAGCUGAAUCCGCGGGGGUGUGCGUGUGUGCGUGUGCGCGCGCACGCGCCUGUACGUUUGUGCGACGCGUCGGCAUUUGCUGACCUCUCCUUCCCGCUUCUGGAUGUCGUCCGCUUUAUCUCCGGCGUACGCCGACUGCAGACGGACGGCGUCUUCUUGGAGCUGACGCACCUGAAACGGCAAAAACAACACGAGCUAACGAGGUCGUCGGGUCACGUUUGGAUGCCGCCGUUGCCGACACGCUCGCAGCGUUUCUUCACGUGAGCGACUUCGAUCGCCACUCAACAAAAUCUAAUUGUGGCUUCAGUUUUUCAGAAUGGUGAACAACACAUUUAAGGAUUGAUUUUAAUGGUGAUUUUGCGCAUUUGAGAAUUAAAACGGAGCGAUGGGCCAAGUCAUUGCUAGAUGAUGUGCGCAGAAAAAAGAGGUUUUGGAAUGAGA